GGAGAGGUGUCUGAGUGGUCGAAAGAGCACGCUUGGAAGGCGUGUAGCCAUCAAAAGUGGCUCGUGGGGUCGAAUCCCACCCUCUCCG
rnacentral:tRNA from 1 species